rnacentral:rRNA from 1 species
UACGUAGGGUGCGAGCGUUAAUCGGAAUUACUGGGCGUAAAGUGUGCGCAGGCGGCGUCGCAAGUCGAGUGUGAAAGCCCCGAGCUUAACUUGGGAAUUGCGCUCGAAACUACGAUGCUGGAGUGUGGCAGAGGAAGGUGGAAUUCCACGUGUAGCGGUGAAAUGCGUAGAGGAUGAUGGAGGAACACCGAUGGCGAAGGCAGCCUUCUGGGCCAACACUGGACGCUCAUGCACGAAAGCGUGGGGAGCAAACAGGA